GCAGCGCUGCGCAUGCGCACUGGCUUUACCCGCCCGGUGCUGUUGCUCCGUGGGUACCGUCCGGCGCUGCCCGGGAGCGGCUUGGAAGCAGCGGGUUCGGUUCCCGGCUGCGGCAGCGGCGGGCGAGGGUUGUGGUGACAAUGGAGGAGGGCGGCUGUUGCUGUGGCUGCAGCGAGGUGGAAAGUGAGCGGAGAACGGCGACGCAGCGUGUGCCGGGAAAAGACCCGAGGGGGGGCGGCCCCGGAGCAGAGCCGGGCGGGAGCGGGCGGCGGGGACUGCGCGGGGCGAAGGCAGUCCCGGCGCGGGCGCGGAGCCGGGGAGGAGCUGCGGGGCUGGGGCCGGGGCUUGCGGGCGGCACGGCGGGACCUCCCUGCAGAGCCUUUCCUGGGAAACAAAACCUGGAGUUUGUCCCACCUCGGCCCCGUGGCAAGGGGCAGCGCAACCGAGGGGAGCAGCGCCUGAGCAGGGGCGGCAGCGUGCGGGCGCAGGGAAGACGCGGCUGGUGCUGGAGCGAGAACGUGCAGGUUUCUUACAUUUAAAUGAACGUGGAAAGCAGGGAGAGAGGUGGUAUAAAAGCACCGGGUGCUCGGGCAGGUGAGACAGGACUCAGGGGAGGGAGUCGCUUUCCUGAGCUCCUGAAGUUCCACUUGACUCUCUCAGGAGCACUCGUGAGAAGUUUCCCAUUUGGAGUUGGGCUCCAAAAGGAAGGAACUUGAAACCGCUUCUUCUGAUAAAUCCGGUUCACUGAGGCUGUGAAUUGCAAUCCAGGGCAUCUUCAGGCUCCUGGUGCUCGGGACUGUGGCGUUUGGUGUGCAGAAAACAUCCCAGGCUGUCCAGCUUGGGUGUGGAUGUGCAUUUCCACAGUUCCUCAGAGUGGGAAAAGGCCAAGAGGGUGAUGGGAAGGCCUUUCUUCUAGGCCUGGGCAUCCUCAAGACACCUCAAGGAUGUUUUUUAAAUGUUUGUUGUCUUUUGUUUCCCAGCCCAGGGCUGAGCUGGAGAACGGGUGGAGGCAGUGGCAAGCGGGAGUCCCAUGUUUACAUCUGCCCUUGGAUUCCACUUUCUUCCAGUGGGUCUGUGCUGCCCGAAGUACAAAGGAAGGAGGUGUUGGAGUACCUGUUUGUUCACCUGUUGAGCUUGGAAGAGAUGCUGAGUGUGAAAUUCCAGGGGUGCCGGCUCCUUGUGAGCUGUUGGUUGCUCAGGAGAUUGGGUCGGGGAAAGGGGGGGAGAGUCCGAGCACAGCACAGUGGAUGGGCUUACACCAAGAAAGGAUGAAACCAAAGCACAGUGGAAGCCCCCCUUUCAUGACUUUAUAGCACUUUCCAGUGCCUAAAGGUGCUCCAAGAGAGCUGGAGAGGGGCUUUGGACAAGGACGUGGAGCGACAGGACGACGGGAAAGGGCUUCACACCAACAGUAGGGUGCGCGUGGAUUUUCCGUCCGCCCAUGUACAGAUGAAUUACAGAGAAAAACAGUUUAUGAUAUUACAGUUUUUACCACGGCUUGCAAGAAGCAUUUUCAAGCUCUGCGCUGGAAGAGCCUCCGCCCUCUUUCCCCCGCUGCCAUUUACAGCUUUGUCUCAUGUGAUCCCAUCCUUCCCUUUCUCUCUGACCUUGGAGUCGUCACGUCAAGGAGCUGAUCUUGCUUAGGCUUUACAUUGGAGAAAGCCUCGCUUCCUUUAUGCUGCUGGCUGCAUGGUGUCUUCUUCGGUUCGGCACGAGCUGUGCUGGCUGCAGCGAGGCUCCGCCGGCUCCGCGCAGCGCCGCGGCAGCUUCAGCUCUUACUCGGCAGCUUCAGCUCUAAACUCGGCAGCUUCAGCUUUAAACUCGGCAGCUUCAGCUCUUACCCGGCAGCUUCAGCUCUAAACUCGGCAGCUUCAGCUCUUACCCGGCAGCUUCAGCUCUAAACUCGGCAGCUUCAGCUCUUACCCGGCAGCUUCAGCUCUUACCCAGCAGCUUCAGCUCUAAACUCGGCAGCUUCAGCUCUACUCGGCCCCGCCGUUCCCCUCAGCUGGGCCUUUCGGGCCGCGCGGCUCCUCACGGCCCCGCCGUGGCUUCCCGGGUCGCGGCGGGGCCCGUGCGCAGCGCCGGGGGCCGAGGGGGGCCCGGGCCCGGGUCCGCGCCGGGAUGCGGCCCGGAGGCCUCCCCCCGUCCACCCCUCCGCGGGAAGCAGGAACAAAAGGGAGAAUUUCCCACACCGGCGCGUCCUUUAAAUAUGCAAAUCCCACGAAGCGACAUUGGAUUAACAGCUUGUCUAUCAACUGUGUUUCAACCUACUACACAAAGGAACUUUGCAGAGAAUCGCAGAAUCACAUAAUUUUUUAUGUUGGAAAAGCCCUCUGAGAUCACUAAGUUCAACUGCUACCCCAGCGUUGCCAAAGCCACCGCUAACCCAUGUCUCCAAGUGCCACAUCCACACAGCUUUUAAAUCCCUUCAGGGAUGGGGACUUUGCCACUGCCCUGGACAGUUGUGCCAGGGCUGGACAGCCCUUUCCGUGAAGAAAUAUUCCCUAAUACCCAACCUGAACCUUUUCUGGGAGCAACUUGAGGCUGUUUCUUCCAGAGUGGAUAAUAGAGAACCUUGUUGGCAUUCUUAAUAGCGAAGGAUUGCGGUUCACACUUGCAGGGACAAAUACCUAUGGAUGCGAGUAGGCACGUUCAUCACUCCUGCUCCAGCUUUGUGCCUCCUGCUCACCAGAAAACGGUCUUUCCAAAAUGUGGGGUGCCACAAAGAAUCCACAGACCUGAGGAAUGUGAAGUACAGGAGGGCAGGGAAGGAAAAAGCUGAAGAACAGUAUGUGAGCAUUUUUCCAACCUCCUCUUCUUGAUCACCCAAAAAAGUGAUGCCAUGAAGAUUUUUUGCCUUUUCUUUUAUACCCCUGUUAUACCUUUUUACAACUCCUGUAUUCUUAGUGCUUUUUGCCUACGUUCUUGGCCUUGUUUGUUCAGCUAGAAGACUAAACGUUUUAGAAGCUUGGUAGCCAGGGAUCAGUGUGCCCCAGACCCCAAGGUCCUCUCCAGAACACAUUCUGUAAACCAAGAUAGAACCAUCCA